AAAACGACUCUCGGCAACGGAUAUCUCGGCUCUCACAUCGAUGAAGAACGUAGCGAACUGCGAUACUUGGUGUGAAUUGCAGAAUCCCGUGAACCAUCGAGUCUUUGAACGCAAGUUGCGCCCGAAGCCAUUAGGCCGAGGGCACGUCUGCCUGGGCGUCACGC
rnacentral:rRNA from 2 species